rnacentral:rRNA from 1 species
UACGUAGGGGGCAAGCGUUGUCCGGAAUGACUGGGCGUAAAGGGUACGUAGGCGGUCAUGUAAGUCAGGUGUGAAAUUCUAGGGCUCAACCCUAGAUAGCACUUGAAACUGCGUGACUUGAGUCAAGGAGAGGAAAGUGGAAUUCCUGGUGUAGCGGUGAAAUGCGUAGAUAUCAGGAGGAAUACCAGUGGCGAAGGCGACUUUCUGGCCUUAGACUGACGCUGAGGUACGAAAGCGUGGGGAGCAAACAGG